rnacentral:rRNA from 1 species
UCUUAGCCCCUCUAGACCCCUUUAACCGUACUGAGAACUUCUAUAAUAUUAUAGAACCUUUUAUGCUAAAACUAGUAACAAGAGGCAACCCCUCUCCCCAAUGCAAGUUAAAGCCAGCAAGAACCCACCGCUGGUAACUAACAGAGCUGAACAAAAGUGAUAACUUCACUAGAAAACCCCACUUCCCACAACUGUUAACCUAACACCAGAGCAUUUCAAGAAAGAUUAAAAGAAAAAGAAGGAACUCGGCAACCAUUAGCCCCGCCUGUUUACCAAAAACACCGCCUCUUGCCCACAUAAGAGGUCCAGCCUGCCCAGUGACUCUUGUUCAACGGCCGCGGUAUCCUAACCGUGCAAAGGUAGCGUAAUCACUUGUCUUCUAAAUAAAGACCAGUAUGAAAGGCAUCACGAGGACUAAACUGUCUCCUUUCCCUAAUCAGUGAACCUAAUCCCCCCGUGAAGAAGCGGGGAUUUCCAUAUAAGACGAGAAGACCCUAUGGAGCUUUAAACAUCAUAACACCUGCUACUACAUCUUACCUACUCAGGUAUUUCUCCCCCCAUGGCACACUGAUUAUAUGUUUUUGGUUGGGGUGACCGCGGAGAAAAACCAAUCCUCCGCAAUGAAAGGGG